UCUGAGCUCUGCUUCCUGGAGACUGACCCACGCAUUUGUUCGUGACACUCGUUCUAUAACCCAUCCCAUUUGCUGGCCCUAGAUGGACGGCAGGAAGUGAGGACAGAAUGCCUGGUGGGUCAGGAGGAGAGGUUAUGUGUUUUGAUGUCCACGAGGACCUCGAAAGCCCUCCCUCCCCUACAUGACAGCUCCGUGAAACGCCACAGCUCCUCUGGUCUCCUACUCUCUGUGCCUUAGAGCUGCUGGGCCAUCUUUAUUCCGACACACAGGUGAUGAUGCAGAGGCUGGUCCCUUCAUCGACUUCUCCUCUGAUGCUCGCUCACCUGUCUUAUAGGCUUACCUGUGCUGAAGACUGUGUCUCCAGACGCAUGUGGAGAAAGGGGAGUGUGACAGGAAAGAUGGCUGACAGACGACACUGGAGCGCACUCGGGGCCAGUCUCUGCAUCCCUGAGGACAACA